GACGAACGCUGGCGGCGUGCUUAACACAUGCAAGUCGAACGGAAAGGCCUUUUCGGAGGUACUCGAGUGGCGAACGGGUGAGUAACACGUGGGUGAUCUGCCCUGCACUCUGGGAUAAGCCUGGGAAACUGGGUCUAAUACCGGAUAGGACCGCACUUUAGUGUGUGUGGUGGAAAGUUUUUUCGGUGUAGGAUGAGCCCGCGGCCUAUCAGCUUGUUGGUGGGGUAAUGGCCUACCAAGGCGGCGGCGGGUAGCCGGACUGAGAGGUUGGUCGGCCACAUUGGGACUGGGAUACGGCCCAGACGCCUACGGGAGGCAGCAGUGGGGAAUAUUGCAAAAUGGGCGCAAGCCUGAUGCAGCGACGCCGCGGGGGGGAUGACGGCCUUCGGGUUGGAAACUCCUUUCGCCAGGGACGAAGCGUUUUGUGACGGUACCUGGAGAAGAAGCACCGGCUAACUACGUG
rnacentral:rRNA from 1 species